AAGAAGCUUCUUCACUCCUGCACAGCAUGGCGGUGGAGGACUGGCAUUAUUAGGAGCUUGAAGAUAAGUAAGGCAUGGAGCCAAAUCACCGGAUACAGUUCCACAUGACAAAGCAGCUUCUGCCAUAAGCUUGAAGAUAAGUAAGGCAUGGAGCCAAAUCACCGGAUACAGUUCCACAUGACAAAGCAGCUUCUGCCAUAGGCGCAAUAACUACCAUGCACAUCACCAAAGCAACACAUGCUAAUUUCAUGCUUGUUGCCAUUUUUGUUUUCUUUGUUUUCUAUUCUUUUUCUUAGUUUGUUUGAAUGGUGUGUAAUGUCUUUGUGGGAGGGGGUUUAUAUAGAAAAUAAGAUAAGGUUUGAAGAUGAGUAGAUUGAUGAAUUUUUUGUGAAUGUGCAUAAAAAUUAGGUGGUAGUUGUGGUUUGAAUUAAUGACGUAUGGUCCAUUAUCUAUAAUUAUUGAGCAUUUGUCUCACUAUCUUUAAUUUAUUAUUUAAUGAUAUGGUACACAGUUAGAUUGGACGAUAAUUACUGUAGUUUCCGAAUUCAAUUUUCCACCCUCCUUCUUUCUCUUCUCUAUUUUAUCGGUGCUUUCUGCGCUUUGUAUGAUUUUUAACUUUCUUAUAUAGGAUUAUCUUAUUAAUACUACUAUUUUAAAAUUUAGUAUAUUUUUUUAAAAGCAAAUAUUAAAAGAGGGUGGGAUAUAUAGAAUGAAACUUGUUUCGCCAUAGUUUUGAAUGGUUUUAGUGUUAUGAUUCGAGAUUUUGAUCUUAGGGGUUUUAUUAGAAAGGACAUCGUCCCUCCUAAAGUACGUGUUUUGUCUAAUGCCUCUUUAGAAAAAAUGUUCAGAACAUGUAUGUGAAAUUUUACAUGACCAUAGGAUAGAAAGCAAUUUUGGAUUGUUUGAAAGCAGCACAUGUUCAAAAUUUCCUCCUUGCUAUUAUUAUUAAUGGUCAUGCCAACAUAUGACCCUGAUAGAAUAUCAUACAAUUCUUAAAUAUCGAUUUAUGAUUCCCUUAUUUCUUGUCGACAAAGUUUUCUCUGUUUUUCGUAAGGUGUGCUUGGAUAUAUUUGGGGUGUCAUUUGACAUACUUUGGCGUGCCACGGUACCUGUGAAGAAAGAGUCACAUGUGAAUUUUUGUACUGACCACGUGAGGGAUGAUCGACACUUAGGCCAACAAAUGUUUUAGUGUACGAGUGGAUAGGAGAGAAACAUGCAUAUGUAGACUUGAUUUCAGUUUUGACAAACAUUUUAAAAAUAAAUCGAACACGCUAGGUUAAAUUACACGAAACGUAGAUUAAUAAAAUUGAUGUUUGCAAGCUUGAUUUUGAAAAUUUUCGUCAACUAUUUUGACACACAUUUUACAAUUGAUUCAACCGAUUUUCCUGUAGAUACAAAAAUUUAUUUCGACUGACAUUCUAGACAUUAUGCGGUAUGAAAUACAUGUUAUGUUAUGCAGAGAUGCAACAAUUAUGAUGAAUGCAUUGAAUCGUUGAUUCACGGUCAAAAUCGGGAUGUGACAAGUUCUACCAGGGUUUCAUCAAGGGUUCCAUCUAAGGUUUUUAUCAAGGGUUCCACUAGGGUUUCAUCAAGGGCUCCAUCAAGGGUUCCAUCUAAGGUUUUUAUCGAGGGUUCCACCAAGGUUUCAUCAAGGCUCCAUCAAUGGUUUCAUCAAGGUUUUGUCAGGAGUUUUUAUCUAGGGUUCCACCAAGGUUUCAUUAAGGGCUCCAUCAAGGGUUUUAUCAAGAGUUUUUAUCAAGGGUUCCACCAGGAUUUCAUCAAGGGUUUCAUCACGGGUUUUAUCAAAGGUUCCACCAGGGUUUCAUCUAAAGGUUUCACCAAGGGUUUCAUCAAAGUUUGAUCAAAGGGUUUCAUCAGGGUUCCACAAAGGGUUUCAUCGGGGUCCCACCAGGGGUUAUGUUAGAAGUUUCGUUAGCAGCGAUCGGAGGAUCACUACAAUCCUACUUGAAUUUCGUAAAAAAUGAUCAGAGGAUCAUCGGAAUCAUACACAGGUUUCACCAAGAGGGGUUGAAACCUACCAAAGAUUCUGGUUCCAUCAUAGUGUUGCAUGGAUUCCCCCAAGGAAGUGGUUCAAAUAUUUGAGUUCCAUUAAGGAUAUUAUUCGGGAUCCAUUAGAUUGGUUAUGUGAGUUUCACAAGGGUUCCACCAAAAGUUGGUUUAGAUACCAACGAAGUACAAAAGGCAUCAAGUCUUUAUACAUCCCCAAAAAAUCUACUAACUCCAUGGACAAAAUUAGGGUCCCUCUCUAUAUUUAAUCGUCUUCCGUCAUGAGAGGAUGAAGACUCGCCAUCACCAUCAUCUCAAUUUAAAUUUGAUUAAAUAGGGACAGUUGUCUUACCCCAAAAUUUGUCUGCCCUUCAUAUGUUUUCUAACGCCACUUUAUUUCGAAUAAAUGAAAUGACACUGUUUUUUUACUGAGUCCCAACUUUAUUUUUAAAAAAGUUUGUUUUUUUAUUUUUAUUUUUUUAAAACCACUGAUGGAUUUUCUUUUCUAUUUCAUUAGUGCCUUUUAAUUUGAAAUUUAAAUUUUAUUUAUUUGAAUAUUAUAAUAUAUAUAUAUAUAUAUAUAUAUAUAUAUAUAUAUAUAUAUAUAUAUAUAUAUAUAUAUAUAUAUUAAUUAUAUAUAUAUAUAUAUUAGUAUAUAUAAAUCUUUUACUAAUAAUUUACAAAUUUUUGUAAAUAAUAUCCACUACUAUUUCGAUCACAGAACAUACUAGUAAUAUAUUGACAUGUGAUACUUCCCUAAUUAUUCUGCAUCUUGUAUGAUUUUCAAUAAAAAUAUACAAAGUGUUGUACCAUAGAAUAAAUCAAAAAACUUAAUAUAUGAAACUAUUAAUAUGAUAUUUAAUUAAGUUUUUAGGCAACACAUAAUUGCAUCAAUUAACUCUGGUUGAUAAAUUAUGACUAUUUAUUUACGUUUUAUAAAUUAUAUUAUAUAUCACAUAUAUUUGAAAAUAAUUCAUAUUUUACAUAAAAAAGAAAUCAAUUUAUUUUAAGUAAUUGUAUAUAUAAGUAUUUUAUCAAUUCAACUCUUAAAUUAAAAUUUUAAAUUGAUAACUUUUAUAAUUUCUUAUAAAAAUUCAAUGAAUAUUGAUUACACGUGCAUUUAAUCUUGUUUUCCAAUUUAGACAUUCUUGAAAAUAUUUUAGAAGUAAUAAUAUAAUAAUAAAAAAUCAUGCAAUACAUCUAUAAUUUUUUUUACAAUGUAUAACUUAAUUUUUUUUAACAAACAAUACAUAUAACAUAAACUUAUACUAGUAUUUAUUAUUACAUAGAUUAAAUGGCCCCACAUCCUUAAUUUUCUGGAUCUACCCCUAGAUCCUACAAACAAAAACCAUCCCACGUUACACUACACAACCAUUGCAUGUGAAAAAUAGUAAUGUAUGUUGGUACAAAGCAGAGAGAAAGAAUGGUAAAAGAUCUAGUCUCAUCUCAUUUUUAGUUAACAAUUAAUUUCUUUUUAUUUGAUUUAACUAUCAUUUAACUAUCAUUAUUUUUAUUUUUAUUUGACAUUUGAAGCAUAGGCUCAAACCUAAUAGUAUCAAUCUCUUCAUAUAUCAAAACUUUUUUAAUUCAUGAAUUGAAUAGUUCUUUUUUCUUUUCAACAAAUAUUUAAACUUCUUGGUGCUUUUGUUACGGAUUUGAUAAAGUGAUUUGGUCUUCAACGCCAUUGACUCAACGUCGCAGUCACUCUGUCGACACUUCCUCUCAAACUAGAAGGUUUUAGGUUUAUUUUUUUUCCUUUUAUCAUAUAAAUGUGUGAGUCUGUCUUUGGCCCAUGUGUAUGUCCAUUUAAUUGAUUUUGUUCUACAUGUUAAUUAAUUACAUUUACACGGUAUAUUAUAACUCUUAGAUUAAUUUUUGUGUCAUUCAGCAGAAAAGUAUAUUAAUGUAAUUUUGUUUGAUACUUGAAAAGAUUAAAAAAGAUAAUAUUAUAAAAACACCCAAAAUAUUAAUUUAGUUAAUUCUCUUUUAUUAACUCUUUUUUCAUUUUAUUAAUUUCGACCACUAAGAUUAUUAACAUAUAAAAGUAAUAAACUCAUAUCUUAUUUUACUUUACGUUAAAAACAAAAUAAAAGUCAAAAAUAUUUCUUUACAUAUUUAAAAUAUUUCUUCUCAUUUUUAAUUCUAAAAAUUUAAAAAGACAAAAAAAUAUAUUAUAUAUUUUAUAUCUUUGUUUUUUGUUUAAAAAUUAAUCUAUUAGGUCUAACUUAAUCUAGUUUAUUUUCUUCUAAAUUCAUUUUAAAAUAAAUUUAUUUCUUUAUAAUAAGAAUAGUAAAAAAAACAAUAAUAAUAAUAAUAAUAAUAAUAAUAAUAAUAAUAAUAAUAAUAAUAAUAAUAAUAAUAAUAAUAAUAAUAAUAAUAAUAAUAAUUAUCUAUGUAAAUAUGAAUUUAUUUUCUAAAUCAAAUUAAAACUAUAUUUUGCAAACUAACUUGAUUGUUUGGCGUCACACCUUAUCGAUAAAUAAUUCAACUAAAAACUUAAAAUCAAUUCAAACACAAUCAAAUGUUAUUUUCUCUGUCCUUGUGCAUUGAUAUUCGCUUUUUUAAACAAAAAUUUCUCCGCCCUGGUGCUUGAGAUAUUUUCACAACUAAAAUCAACAAACAUACAAUAUUUUCUAGACGGAUUUCAGUACUUUGAUCAUUCAUAUUGCUUGAGGGUACGUAGGCAUAGAGUUGUAACACUCUGGUGAAUACAAUAACAAAAACCUUUUCUCUGUCAUCUUUCCUGAUUAAAUUUUUCUUUUAUUAAAAUGAUAACCUAAUUCCCUGUAAAUAGGUAUAUUAAGCAAAAAUAGAUAACAUAAGAAAACACCCCAUAGAUAACACCUCCCCCUCACUAAAUCGACUCCCGAACCCUAAUGCACUAUCCUUACCUUUUAGGGUUUUCUCAUUAUUUCCCAUGUUCAUUAGGAACAAAUAAAAUAUGGUGGCAACUCGGUAAUUUUCCAGCCGCGACAACAAUAUUCCAUCUUAAAUAUCUUGAGUAUCUCACUUGUAUAUCUUCUUUGAUGCAUCACCAAAUCUCUACUACUCUUGUAGAAUUUGAUGCCAAGAAAGUAUGAAAUGUCUCCCAAAUCAAACAUUUCGAAUUCCUUGCUAAGGUCACCUUUGAAGUCUUCGAUCUCUUUCUUACAAUUACCAGUUCUUAAUAAGUCAUCGACAUAGAGAUAUAGUAUAAGCAAUUCACUCUUGCUUCUUCUUACAUGUAAUCCAUGUUUAGUUGUGCACUUCACAAAUUCGUCCUCCCUUAGAAAGCUAUAUAUCUUCUUAUUCCAAGCUCUUGGAGCUUGCUUAAGUCCAUACAGGGCUUUGUACAACCUGUAUACCUUGCUUUCUUCGACUUGUUUCACAAACCCAACUGGUUGUGCAACAUAAACUUCUUCAUCUAAGAGGGUCAUUUAAGAAUGCACAUUCACAUCCAUAUGACACAUAUGCCAGUUGUUCGUGUUUGCUAGACUAACAACCAACCUGAUUAUUUUGAUCCUAGUAACAGGUGCAAAAACUUUGUCGAUUCCUUCUUUUUGAAGAAAUCCUUUCGCCACAAGUAUUUCCUUGUGUCGAGUUACUUCUCCUUUAGGAUUCAACUUCACCUUGUAUACCCACUUCUCAUUGAUUGCCUUCUUGUCUUUAGGCAAUUCGACAAGUGACCAAGUGUUGUUGACUUCAGUGGACUUCAGUUCCUCAUUCAUUUCUUUCAUCCACUUCGAAUCCUUCAAUACCUCGACUGCAUUGACUAGUUCAUCAUAUGCAUAGAAAGCAUAGUGUACCAGCUCACCUUUAUCAUCAACCACAUCAUCUAAUGUAAUCACACAUUCUUUCAACCUUACAGGCAUAUGUCUUGUUCUUUGAGGUCUGUUUGUGCUUGUUUGACCUCUGACUUCUUCUUGUCGAACUUCUCUUUCGAAUUCACUUGUUGGGUAUUCACAUAGGAUUCAUACUGAAUCCUUCUUGACAUUUUCAGUCCAAUCACAUUCCUUAAGCUCAUCUAUGAUCACAUCCUUGUUGAUCAAUAAUUGCUUGUUCAUCAAUAUUGUUUCAGAAUUCUCCAUAGGUUUGGUGUAUUUCCACAUUCAGGAAUUUCGUCUUAAUCCCAACAUCUGGUAUCUAAGCACUAGCUGUGUGAUUCUUGGGAAGCAUAAUGCUCUGAUUGAUUACACCUUUUGUUCUCCACUCUUCACUUGAGUGAAUCAACCAACCUUGAUUUCAAGAUGAUUUUGUUGCACGAUGACUAUUGAAGAAGAAAAAAAAGAUGAAUUGAGGAAGAAAGGAGAAUUUAGGGUUUGAGAGAAAAGGGGAAGAAGAAGAAGAAUUCUGCAGAGUUUUUCUUUCUGCUUUCAAACUGAAAUUUUAUUCAACUUUUUUCUAUGCAACUGCAUUACAAACAACGAUAAGUACCUCCUUAUUUAUAGGUUGAUAUUGCUUCCACACCAACCAAUCACCAACUAACCUAACUAACUAAACUAAAACAAACAAAUAAAAUUAAGUCAAAAUUAUGUCGAGAUACACUUUAAUAUUUCGACAACUCCUUUCGAACAACAUGCUUCAAUAUAAGAAAUUACAUUUUCAAAUAUAUAUAUAUAUAUAUAUAUAUUAUAUAUAUAUAUUAUAGAUUUUUUUUUUUUUUUUUAAAAUGAAAGUUAUUGUCGACCAAGACUUUCCUCAUUUUAAAGGCAUUUAUUAUUAAUCAAGUGAGUGCCUCUAUCAAAUUUUCAUUUAUAUAUAAAUUUUUGCUUUUAAUCAAUAUCCAUUAAAUAAAUGGUUGUUAUCCUUUAAACAUGACACGAUAUAUACUCUCAAGAGAGGUAAACACCACUUAACUUUUUUCAUUAAUGAACCAUGGAUAAAAUUAAUACGACCUUUAGUAUUUUAAAUUGACAUUAUCAAAACAAUAAAAUGACGAGAAAAUUAGAAAGAAAAAACAAAUUGAUCUUUAGAAUUGACUUAUCUAACACUGCAUCGAUGAUAAUAAAAACAGGCAGCAUUAUGUCGACAGGGACGGUUGCCGACCAUACUGUGUGUCAGCAAAGUUGAUAAAUUUCACCAUAGGUGUUCCUUAAUCACGGCACCGAAUUCAUACCCCACGAUGUUGUGGUACCCAUUGAAAUUCAAACUGUUGCUAUUUUGCAGACUGCAAUACAUUUUUUGUUUGGCAAUAAAGUUAGUCAGCCAUGGAUCCAUAAAUAAUUGAUUGGAGCUUAGUUAACUGUUUAAAUAUUCAUACAAAAAAUAUUUUUAUUUAAAAAAAUUUAAAAAUAACAAAAAUUGAACACACUUGCUUCUAAGUUUAAUCUCUCUAAUUUAUUCACUUGAGAAUAGAUUAGACUAGAGAAUCAAAUUUAGAAUAUUUUGUAAUCAAUUGUGUAAAUGUUCAUGUUGUUAUAAAUAUAAUAAAUACAAUGAGGAAAGGCAUCCCGCCAGAAUUUGUGACAUCCAUGUCACCUUUAUCAAAGAGGAAAUGAGACACCAUAAAAUCUUUAUGAUAACUCUCAAAGGAUCCGUCAUGGAAUAAAUCAUUAGAAUACAACACCAUAAAAUCUUGGAGGAAAUUAUGUGAAGAUUUCAUAAUACAAUUCAUAACACAUUGGAGAAAGUUGAAGAGAGUAGUGUUCCUUAGUGGGAUCCAUUAGAAGAAGAAUGAUACCUCAAAUACAUGUAAUAAUUGUGAGGUCAUAGUAAUUUCACGUGUAAAAGCAUGUAUAAUUGUAAGGAUAGGGUGAUUUCAAUGUGAAAUAUGAUUUUCCACAAUAUCUUGAAUUCCAUUAUAACUCACUCUAAUUCAUGCAAUAUUAGUCAUAAAAAUGGUUUAAAUGCUUUAUAAGUAUCUUGGAAAAAGUAGUAUCAUAGGGUGUCACCAGACACAGACACUUAUUUUAAUGUUUCGUCUAUUUCUUAUCUUCAAUUUCAAGCAUUUUAGUAAGUUUAGAAGGACCAUUUAUUUAGCGUUAAAUGUGAACAAAGGAUCCACUGUCAUUAAGUGGGUUCCCGAUUUAUAUGAAGGGAUAUGUAAGUCAUGGUAACUCGAGAACCACUUAUGAAACUAAUCUAUAUCCAAACUUAUCAAAAUAGAAAAAUCUUGAUCACCACAACUUAAUCAUAACAUCUUGAUCUUCAAGUACCAACAUUUGGUAAACAAGUUUUGAUCUUCAAGCACCAUCACUUGAUCCACAAUAUGUCAGUUACCACCACUUGAUCAACAACUAUCAAGAAUCAUCACUUGAUCAACCACAUAUCAAUCACAAGAUCCACAUAUAAAGCACCAUCAAUUGAACAAUAAGAUGUCAAGCAUCAUCAUUUGAUCAACAUAUCAAGUGUCAUCACUUGAUUAAUCUUCAAGCACAAUCACAUGAACCAACUUAGACUUGAACAAGACUGAUGAAGAAUUCUCUUAAGAGUCUUGUCAACAUCAAAACCAAAAUAAUACAUUGUUAGAGUCUUCAUACCUGUAAACACAUAGAUCCACAUUAUCCUUUUUUUUUGAUGAAAAAUAAUCUCUUAAGGAGUUGGAAUAACAAAGAAAAAAUGUUAUAAAACUUGGAGUGAUUAAACUCCCCCUACAAACAUAGAGAGUAUACCCUACUUCCCCUGAGAGUAUACUUUUGCCCCCUUGGCGUUAUCAAAAAUUUGGGGAAAAUUAAGCAGAUAGACUUGUAUAUGAAUUAUUCAAGCACAUAUAUCAUAAGAGAUGUGCAUAGACAUUUAAUGGAAAACAUACUUCAUCAAUUGAAAUGACGGAAUUCAAAUACAGAAAGGGAAAUAACAAGGAAUUUAAAAGACUAUGAAAAGAAGGAAAAACAUAGGUGAGAUAACUAUUUGUUGUCAUUAAUAUCAUCAUCUAUGAUUAUGUAUUUUUUGUUGUUGAGUUCCUCUUGAUGAUAACCAUGUCCUUUAUUAAUUUUUGAAUAGCCAUAGUGUUUUUCUGAGAUAUUUUCAGAAGGUGUUAAUGAUUGAAUCAUUUGUUGUAUCUAGAUGGAUACUUCAUUUAUGGAUUUGUUCCAUAAUUCUCCUUGAAAGAUAUGAACCCUCAUACUACUGAGGGAUGAGUAGUUAAUACUAUAGUGAUUGAAUCCAUAAAUUCCCCUUGUGUUGACUCUUAGAGUAUCUAUAAUAUUGGUGAUCAAGGCUCUAUAUCGUGACCCUGUUGAUCGAGACUGCUUGUAGGAGGUCAUAUGGAGAAGCAUCUCGUUGAUCCAAUUUGUUUGAAACUGUUGGGUAAGCAGCCACAAAGGGACCAUAUAUUCUCGAAUGAUGACUUCAAGAUUAUCUUGUAUAGGGAAGAGUAUAUGUGUGAUAAAAUAAUGUUGGGUGAGAAUAUGGAGCAUAGAAAUGGUGUAUAUGGGGGGAGGGGGUUGAAUACACCCUUUUGAAAAAUUUAACCAAUUUUUGAAAUGAAAAAUCAGAGUUUUUGAUGUGGAAGUCUUAUAACAAAAAAAGAUAGACUUUAUGCUUAAAUUGGAAAUUAACCACGUAUACAAUUACCUAAUUAACAAAUAUCUUUGAUUGAUUAGAGAUAAUAUCUAAAGAGUUACAUGCUACGAUGAAUUGUCACUUUGUUAAUUACACAAGAUAUGUUCUUUACAAUAUCCAAUUUCUAUGAAAGUUUAACACAACAGUUUGUAGAAUUUAAUCAGAACUAAAACACAAAUAGAUUUUGAUUCUAACAAAACCUAAAUUUAUAUAAUAAAUAACUACCAACAGGUAUUAACAAUAAAUUACACUAAGAAAGGUUAACCUAAACAUGCAAUAGCCUACGAAAAAUUAAAAUGAGAGAGAGAAAGAGAGUGUGAACACUAGGAUGUAUAGUGGUUCAGAUCUAUCUUCCUGCAUGAGCCUAAUCCACUCUCCAAUUGUUUCUCAUUAAAAAAAUUUCUUCAACUAUGUUUUGAAAAAAAUUACCUGAGUUCAUACAAUCAUUAAUCCAUAAUAAUGCUGAGAAAAUAAAUCUUUUAUCUGGAUCUUAACUUGUACACUGCCUUUAUACUGAACUCUUUGUGAAAUCUUUACUCGGUUAUUGCUUCUUUAAUCUUCCAGAUUCACCAAUAUUCUCCAAGUCUCCGUGUAUGGUAAUCGCCCAUGAUCUCACUAAUUUCUUGAGCAAUGAAUUGUCUGAAGAUUGAGAAGAACCGCUACCUUGUAUGUAGGCUUCCUUAUAACUCUGCCAAGAGAUUUUGAGUUUUCAAAGAUAUGGAAGUUGUUGUUGUUAUGUUCUUGGUUAUUAUAAAUUGAGAUGACAAAAUAAUUUAUAUGUGCUAGAGAUUACGCACAAAAGUAUGUGAAAAAUGGUUCUUAGAUUCGAGUCAAGAACAUUUGUUGAUUUGAGUCAAGUGAGCAAGUAAAGUGGAACAAGAUUAACAUAACAAAAGUGACUUAUUUCCUGUGAUUCGAGUCAAAUUAUAUGUAUGAUUCUAGUUAUACAAGCUCAUAAUUUGAGUCAAGUAGAAACCCUGAUUCGAAUCAAUUUGAACUGAGCCGAAUAGUAAAAUGUGAAAAAACUAUGUGAUUCAAGUCAUUUGUAAAGUGUGAUUCAAAUCAAACUGGGAAGUGGCAAAUAGGAUUUGUAUGAUUCAAUCAUGUGCAACUUGUGAUUUGAGUCACAGUGUUGUAUAAUUUUGAAUCAAGUUAAAAUUGUGAUUUGAGUCACAGAUGCAAAAGUCUCCGGCUUCCAUUCCCUGCACAUAGACCUUAAUAUUUUCUUAGCACAAUCUCUGCCAAAAACGGACUUUCCUAAAUUGUUGAUUUUGUUGAUUAAGUGGAAGAACCUAGUCUUCAUGGAUUCCACGAAUUCUCCGGGAUCCACACGAAAUAGUUCGAACUCAUCUGUUACCAUGUUGAUCUUAGAAUCCUUGACGUCAUUUGUUCCAUUGUAAAGGGUUUGAAUAUCGUCCCACAUAGAUUUUGCGCUCUUAUGAUGUAAAAUAGAGUAUAAUACUUUCACACUUAAAAUUGAGAUAAGUAUGUUACUCGCUUUCAAAUCAUAUGAAGCCUUUUUGGUUUCAUCAUCUAUCUAAUCCUUUGGGUGUUUAACAUCUACCCGUAGAUUUUUAUAAAUUGAUAAUAAAUGUACAUACAUAUUUUCUUUCCAAUAAUGAUAAUUAUCGGCAUCUUCACCCAUAUUCCCAAAAUUUUGAGUCACUUAGACCUGAUCAAAAUACCAACUUUGAUACUAAUUAUUGGGUGAGAAUAUGGAGUAGAAAAUGGUAUAUAAUGGGUGAAUAGACCCUUUUGAAAAAUUUGACCGAUUUUCAAAAUGAAAAAUCGAAGUUUUUGAUGCGGAAGUCUUAUAGAAAAAAUAGAGACUUUAUGCUUGAAUUGGAAAUUAAUCACUAAUAUAAUUACACAAUUAAUAAAUAUCUCAGAUUGAUAAGAGAUAAUAUCCAAAGAGUUACCACCUGUGAUGUAUUGUCACUUUGUAAAUUACACGAGAUGUGUUCUUUACAAAAUACAAUUUCUAUGAGAUUCUAACACCACAGUUUGCAAAAUUUAAUUAGCACUAAAACACAAAUGAGUUCUGAUUCUAAAAAAAACUAAACUUGUGUAAUAAAUUGCUACCAACAGUAAUUAACAAUAAACUACACUAAGAAACGAUUACCUAAACAUGCUAUAUCCUACAAAAUUAAAAUAAGAGAGAGAGAGAGAGAGAGAGAGAGAGAGAGAGAGAGAGAGAAAGAGAGAGAGAGAGAGAGAGAGAGAGAGAGUACGCCCGAAUGUAUAAUGGUGCGGGUCUAUCGUCAUCAUAGAAGCCUAAUCCAUUCUCCAAUGGUUUCCCAUUGAAAGUUGUCAUUCCACUAUGUUUUGACAAAAAUUGCACGAGUUUAUACAAUCAUUAAUCCAGAAUAAUGAUGAGAAAACAAAUCUUCUAUCUGGAUCUUGACUUUUACAUAGCAUUUAGGAUGAACUUUCUGUGAAAUCUUUACUCGAUUCUCGCGUCUUGAAUCUUCCAACUUCACUAAUCUUCUCCAACUUUUCGCGUGUGGCAAUCACCUCUGAUCCCACCGAUUUCUUCACGAAGAUUGAGAAGAACGCAUACCUUGUCUGUAGGCUUCCAUACAACUCUACAAAGGUCAUCAUAGAGAGAAGAACCUUUUUUUUUCACCAGAUUUUGUCACCACAAGUCACAACAAUCCCAAUGAUAAAGUUUUUACUGGUUUGUCAACAAAUGUGAAAGAGGGGGAGGAUAAGUAUCUUUAUGGCCAGUAGUUGGUUUCUUAUAAUUAACAUCCCCUUGGACCUCUUUCUCCUUCAAAUAUUGACUUUAGAACCUUAUCAUGUGUAUGAAUCAAUAGUGAAUCAAGUUUUUAACGUAACCCCCAAAGGCGUAGUGGUUUUUUAGUGUUUCUUUCAUCCAUCAUUGGUGGAUUUGGUGUUUGAGUUCUAACUUGGUUCAUAUUUGUUGGUUACUUGUUGUAUUAGUAGCACUACUACAAAAUAGACGUUUGGUAACACCCAUUUUACAACGGUUUUCCUAUUAACCGUGGUAAUAAUUUUUUGGGGCGUUUUUUUUUUGUGUAUUUACUAAAAGAUAUUUCACAACGGUCAUUGAUACCAACUGUGGUUAAAAGUGGCGUCUGAUCAUGAGUUUGAAUCUCAGCACCUACAAUUUUGUUUUUAUUUAUUUUUAAGCCACUUUUCACCACCGUUGGAACUUUCAACUGUCGUGAAAAGUGGAUCCUGGUCAUGAGUUCGAAUCCUAGCACAUACAGUUUUAUUUUUAUUUAUUUAUUAAAAGACAUACAACAACGGUUGAUUAAAGUAACUGUUGUGAUAUGUUAAGACAUAUAACAAUGGUUGUUUAAAGUAAUUUUUCUGAUAGGUACAAUUUUUUUUUUAAUAUUUAUUAAAGUAAGCAUGUUUAUUGAGUUUCUUCGCCAUUCUUAAAUAAAUCUUUGUCGGCCAUUUAGUGAGUAUCAAUGCCCAAGACACUACCAUUGGUGAUCCGCAUGAAACCUAAAACUUAGAUGAACUUUCAACUUAGAAGAACUUCAUCUUCUACCUCCAAACAUCUUCUUCCAUUUAUGACUCUCUAUUUCUCCACUAAAUUAAACUCGAAGACAUUCUUUCUUCCAUAAGCAAAACUCAAAAACAUCAUUUCUUUCAUUAACAAAUUCCAGAACUCCAUCACCUCUUCUCCCACUUGAAUGAGACAAGGAAAACAUGGAUUCUAGUUAGCAAUGUUAGUGUUUUUGUUAUUUUGUUGUUGUUGUUGUUGUUGUUCUAUUGCUGCAUUUUUAUUUUAUUUUAUUAAAAGUCAUACAACAACGGUUGUUUAAAGUAACCAUUGUAAUAAAGUGAGACAUACAACAAAGGUUGUUUAAAGUAACCGUUGUGGUAAGUAGCGUGGUGAAAAAUGUCAUACAUACAAUCAUACCAUACCUCACAACGGUUGAUCCAAAGUGGUAGUAUCCAUUUUCCGACUGUUGUGAUAGAUAUUUUUCGUAGUAGUGUAACUAUUCGAUUUUCCUUUUCUUUCUGCUUAUUUUUGUUCUUGGUGAUUGAUUGUAUUAGCUCCAUCAUUUUAUCUUUUAGUUUUUUUUGUCUGUUUUUUUUUCUUUGGAGGUUUUUCUCUUCGUUAUUAAUAUAGUAAUUGAUAAAAAAAAUGUUAGUAAUAUUUUCCGUUACCACGUUUAAACAAUCCAACUUAUUAGUAAAACCCAUUUUGUUGUAGAUAAGUUUAUGCAACUUUAUCCAUAAUAAAUGUAAGUUAAAUAUGAACUUAAUUGUAUAAACUCAAAUCUCCUUAGACUUACGAAAUGACAUUAAUAUCAAACAAACUUGCUUUUAACUUUGUUUUUAAUUGUGAUACAUUGCAUUUUUUUAAGGGUAUUUUAGAUUUUUCUUUCACACUAUUAAAUUAAUAAAAUCACAACUUUUGUUGCAUUAAAUAUAUUUAAUAAUAUCGUUAUGAAAAAGACAUAUCAAAUUAACUUUUCUAGCCUCUUAUCUUGAUUUUUCAUUUGUGAUACAAUGAUUUUUUAAAGAUGUUUUACUAUUUUACAAUAUUAUAUUGAUAAUAUCAUAAGUUUUUUUUUGCAUUAAAUCAAUUUAAUAAUAGCAUUUAUAUAUUAAUUUAAUCAUUAAUUAUUAUAUAUGUUAUAAAAGAAAAAUUAUCUUUGAACCACAACUAAGAUUUAGAUUAAAUUAAUAUUUUAAUAACUAUUGUAUAAAAAACAAUAAUCAUAAUAUACUUUAAUUAUACUUUUAACGUUAAUAUGUAUACACGGGACAAAUGUUUGUUUGGCAUUGAUCAAUAAAUUAAAUUAAUAAAAUUAAAAAAUAAUUAUAACAUAAUUUACUAAAAUAAAUUGAUUCAACAGUCCUUGUCCUUAAAAUGUUGGAGUUUCAUAUCUUUUAAAAUUUUCAAACUUAAAAUUAUAAUAUAUAAAAUAUCAACGUGACAUUUAAAAUAAUUCAAAAUAAAAAUAAUAAAAUCAUAUCAGUAUUUUUGGAAUUAAAACAAAUAAAUAAUUGUUGAGUUAGCGAGCCACACAAAUCCUUUUGUCCAAUCAAAUUCCAAAAUAUUUAAAUGAUCUAAAUCUUUAUAUUGCAAGAUUGUUUUUGCAAAAAAUAGUUUUACAGGGGCAUAAAUUAAAAUUCGCCUAUGGCACGGGGAAAUGAUAUUAACCAUUUAUAAAAUUAUUCAUUAAAAUUAAUCUCUUUUAAAUAUUUUUAAAACAAAUGAGAAUAUUUAUAAUAUAAUAAUUAUAAUUUUUCAUACUUUUAACAUUUUUUAUUAUUUCAUUUAAAAAUUAAUAACUAAAAAUAUUCGUUGACACAUCCCGUUCAUACACGAUUUAGUCCAUAUUUGAUUUUGAUAAAAUUUUGAAUAAUUAAUUUUUCUUAAAAGUGAAUUGAAUGUUUUAUAUUUUGAUACAUAGUUGAAUUAUAAGAAUUAAAAAUCAUGUUAAGACUCGAAAUCUACCAAUGAUUGUGUCUUCGAAUUAUGAUAAAUUAUUCAGGGAAAAAUAAUUCUACCAGAAGGCAAAUAAACAUACUAAAAUUGAUUAUAAAAUGGUAAAUCAAACAAAGAAUUAUUAUUUUUAUAUCUUAAAGAGAAAAUUGAUUCUAAAAUACUAAUUUAAGUUUAUUAUGAAAAUUAUAUAAGAAAUAAAUAUUAUUGAUUGAAGAGUUAGUUAAAAUUAUAAUUAUUUUUAAUAUUAUUCAAUAAAAAAUAUGAACAAUUACAAUGCAAUUCCUACAAUUGUGUUGCAUAUUUUAAUUUUAUUCAAGUUGUUUAUCAAGAAACAAGACACUUAAAAAGGUAUUCUAGCAUACAAUUCUUACAAAAAUAAAUGUUUUUCCCUAAUAAAAUAAUUAAAUUUAAUAUUUUCAAUAGCUUGUAGAUAAAAAUAAGAUUAUUUAUAAUAAAAUAUUAAUUAAAGUGAAAUAUAAAUCAUUGAUUUUUAUUAUAAAAAAAAGGACAAAUAGUCGUAACAAAUACAUAAAAAAUACAAGAUAGAAAUAUUUGUAACAGGUAAAUAUAAAAAAAAAUAUAAAAUACACAUUUGUCAUUGUUACAUAGCAAAAUAAUACGCAAAUAUUUUUUAUUUUAUUAAUGCGAAAUAAAAACAAAAAAUUAAAUUCAAAUUCAAAAAAACAGUCUCCUCCAAUAUGUAGAUUUUGAUAGUGGUUUUGCAACAUGACUCCUCCAUAGCAGGAGUUGUAGAGACUCUCAGCACCACCUCUCACUCUAUUGAGGUUGUUGUGCACCUAGAUCAUCGUCGAUGGUCUUUGCCGUCCUUGGUGAUUUCCAUUGAUUUGUAUCUUAACCCCUUAGGAUCCGUUGUCUGUUGUCCACUAUUCAGAAGGAACUCCGUGCCAGAAUGGAUAAACAAGACACUGUCAACGACAACAUUCAGAACAUGCUAGCUCAAUUGCUUCAGAGAAUGCCUCCGCCUCCCAACCCCUAGGCACUUAGGAUUUUGUUUUUAGCCUGUUGUUUUGGCUUGUUCUGAUGACUUGUUCUUUUUGUCCUUGUCUCUGUUGCUUUUACUGAAUACAAUGUUUUUUUCUUGAAUUAUUCUUUUCUGCUAUGUCUUUUGAUUCUGACAAAAAGGGGAGAAGUCAUUAAAUGCUCUGACGAAAUUCUGUUCUAAAUACUUAGCACUUGCAACUAUUUUCUUAAAAUAAAUUUAUCUACACUAGACUUAAGAAAUUGCAGAGGGGCAACAUUAGCUGGGUGGUAAGUUUGGUAUCAAGACCUCAUUCCGCUUGGAAGCUUGGUAAAACUUUUGACUCCCGUAGCCUAUUCUCAGGGGAGGUCUUGUCUAUCUGAUCUGAUAUUGUUUAUGUUUCAUCUGCUAAUUAAGUUUGUUUUGUCAUUUUCAGAAGGGGGGAUUGUAGAACAAAUUGGUGAUCGGUACAGCAGAUUCGGCUCUNNNNNNNNNNNNNNNNNNNNNNNNNNNNNNNNNNNNNNNNNNNNNNNNNNNNNNNNNNNNNNNNNNNNNNNNNNNNNNNNNNNNNNNNNNNNNNNNNNNNNNNNNNNNNNNNNNNNNNNNNNNNNNNNNNNNNNNNNNNNNNNNNNNNNNNNNNNNNNNNNNNNNNNNNNNNNNNNNNNNNNNNNNNNNNNNNNNNNNNNNNNNNNNNNNNNNNNNNNNNNNNNNNNNNNNNNNNNUGCUAUGUCUUUUUGAUUCUGACAAAAAGGGGGAGAAGUCAUUAAUAGCUCUGAUGAAAAUACUGUCUAAAUACCUUAAGCACUCUGCAACAUAUUUUUCUUAAAAAUAAAUUUAUCUAACACUAGACUUAAGAAAUUGCAGAAGGUAUCAAGAAACCUCAUUGCUUGGAAGCUCUGGUAAGAACUUCUGAACUCCCUAGCCUAUCUCAGGGGGAGCUCUUGUCUAUCUGAUCUGAUAUUGUUUAUGUUUCAUCUGCUAAUUAAGUUUGUUUUGUCAUCAUCAAAAAGGGGGAGAUUGUAAGAACAAAAAUUGUUCUACAACAGAUUCCAUGAUUUUGAUGAUAACAAAGGAUGAAACCAAAAAUGGCACCCUAACGAAAAGUUUCUAAGUGUGCAGGAUUCUAAGGAAAGAAGGAAGAGAUCUGAUGACGUCAUCAGAUACAGAAUCAUAUCAGAUACAAAUUAUCAGAAGACCAAAAGCAUCUGAAGUAUAAACACGCUCAAGAAAGUCUAACUCUGAGCAAAAACAACAAAAUAUCAGAAGCAUCUGAACAAGAAGUACGCUCUAGAAGUUCUGACUCUGAACAACGGUAUGUCAAACUCCAGAAGCUAUCAGCGCUAUCUGAAGAAACCAUCAGAACUUAAAAGAGAUCAACAUCAGAAGUUAGAUAGCAAGAUUCCAAGAUUCCCAGAAACACGAAGACUCAGAUCUUGGAUUUCCUAAUAAGGAAAGAGUAACGUUAACUUCAAAUAAAGGCUUGGAAAUGGAUUUCCUAAUACAGAAAGAGACGUUAAACUCCAAAUUCAAAUGAAAAGGAACUAUUUUUGGAAAGUAGUCAUUCGAGGAGAGAAAGUUGUCUUGGCAAGAAGCUAUAUAAGUUAUGGCAUUAAUUUAAAUUAUUGGCCAUCACCUUCAACGACUACUUCACUCCUAUAUAUAAAGGACUGCAAAUCAACAUCAAACACAAGAAUUUACUGAAACAUCAACACACAUAAACACAUUUUAUUCUCUCAAUCUUCACGAAGCUUUUGCUUAGAACGUGAAACACUUUGUUCUUGCUGUUGUAAUAUUUGCUUAUCUUAGAAGCACUCUAGAUUACAUAAGUCUUUAUCCUUGUUUUUUUCCUCAAGUGACUCUGCGCAGUCUGUAUACUUGAGAGGACUAAGAGAUCUUCUCUUAGACGUCGUUUGUAAUCAAUCUUUCAAGAUUAGUGGAUUAAGUCCUUGUUGAAGGCGAAAUCACCUUGGCCGGGUGGACUGGAGUAGCUUUGUGUUAUAAGCGAACCAGUAUAAAUUCCUUGUGUGAUUUUCAUUUUUGAAAAAGCGCUUAUUUUCAAAACAAUUCAAACCCCCCUUUCUUGUUUUUCUCACCUUCAAAGGUUUGAUUUGA
rnacentral:lncRNA from 1 species